rnacentral:ncRNA from 1 species
CUUCUAUGGUUGUUUUUACAUUAAUAGGGAAUAAGGUGAAAAACCUUAACAGCCCCCGCUACUGUAAAAGUUACAAUACUCUAAAAACGUCACUGAAAUUUAUUUUUCGGGAAGAUAAGAGUAUUAGGCUAGAAACUUUAAGUCAGGAGACCUGCCAUAGAAUAG